UUAAGAUCUAGAAAUUUUAAAUUUCCAGUGUUAACAUUAAUUCCAUUUACGACGAGAUUGUGUUAAGUUGAUUUGUUGACUGAGCUAAUAUAUAACUAUAAUAAUAAAUUUUGUGUGUGAAGAACUGAAAUGAAAUUUUUUUGAGAAUAAAGAUUUUCAAGUGAACAAAAAUUGAAUCACCUGAUUAAAAAAAAACUGUUGCUGUUCUUCAAUAAAAUAACUUCAAAAGAAAAGAAAGAAAAAUUAAUAUUUCACUAUGACAAUGGUGAUACUGUUUCGUUACAACGGCUCUGCCAUGCUUGAGUUGUCUGAUGAUCUUGUUAGAGUUUUUGAUAGCGAUGAUGAGGAGGAGCCGCCACCAUCGGCAGUUUUGGAGAAGUCAAUCAUUGACUUUGAUUUUGUCCAAUUUUUAAUUGACAAGAAUCUUAAUCAUGUAGCAGGUGCAAUUUUUGCUGAAUUGGACCCAAAAACCUUACGUGCUGCUUCUUUUACUUGCCGCAAAUGGCGCCAAGUCAUAUUUGAAGAAAAAGUUUGGUACACUGUUUUCAUGAAGAAGAUUAAAACUAGCACUAUUUGGGCCGAUUUAGCUGAGUGCAAUGGUUGGGAAAAGAUAAAGUCAGCUGAUAAUUUGACACCUAAGCAGCGUGCGAUGAAAUGCCGCCAUUUGUGCAAUGUCAUCGAGCAGCAAAUCCAAAAUACUACCAAUAACUGGAAUGUUGGACGCUAUACUCUGAUACGUGCCAUACAUCCACCGAAUACUGUCGUAAGUUGCUUACGUGUGGAUGAGACAAGAGUACUAUCAGUUAUUGGGAAUUUAAUUCAAGUUCGAGAUAGAGCUCGCUAUCUUCGUUGUGAAAAACUGGAAGGGCAUGAAUGCAAAGUUUUAGCUUUGCAAUUUCAUGCUCAAUUGGCAGUAUCAGCCGACAAUGAAGGAUAUAUUAAGUUCUGGUGCUUGGAAACAAAAAAAUCAAUAUAUUCUAUGCAAAAUGAUGAUGCAGUUGCAAUAAAUGACUUACGUUUCCGUGACGAGAUAUUAGUCACUGGUGACAAUGUUGGCAUAAUUGGCAUAUGGGCAAUGAAUUUACCUAGCGAAGUUACUUUGAUUCAGAAUUUGAUCGGGCACGAAGGCUCUAUUACUUGUCUUGAUUUAAGUGAUAAGAUGCUGGUUUCUGGAUGCACCUCUUGUGUUGUUAAAGUUUGGUCAAUGGAAACUCGUGAAAAUCUAUAUACUCUUCUCGGUCAUACUGAGCGUAUUAAUUGCAUUAAGUUAAGCAACAAUUUGAUUGUUAGUGGCAGUGCCGAUAAAACUGCUCGUAUUUGGAAUGCAGAGUCAGGUAUAUGUAUGCGUGUAUUGGUCGGUCAUACAGGUGCUGUUACUGCUGUGACCUUUAAUGAUGUGCGUUUGAUUACUGGCGCCAGUAACGGUUACAUGAAGGCUUGGAACAUGAAGGCAGCCCUCGAUCCACAUAAGCGUAGUGAAUAUUUGUGUACUUAUACUUUACAUGAGCAUUCAUCUGCUGUAACUAACAUCCUCUGCGAUGAAUUCCAUAUGUUCAGUUGCGCAUCGGACAAUGCAAUCAUAUUUUGGAAUUUCCUAUGCCACAAAUUUUUGACUAACAACUGGUAUUCACGAGUGCUGACCAUUGCUUGUGAUCAAGUAACCAUGGGUGUCAACCUAGAGCUUUAAUUAUCAUCAUUAAAAUUGUUUGGAACCACAUCUACGGUACUAGUUGUGAUCGAUACGUUCCUCUUCAACCGAACGAGAUCAAUGAUAUAUAAACAGAAGGACUUUAAUUGGUUUAAUACCCUAAUUUCAAAUAUCGUAGAUGAGUGGUCAUUUGAAUCAUAUUAAUAUUAUAAUCACACAUAUAGACAUAUAAAAAUGGACAACCAUUUUCAAUAUUUUAACCAUAUAUUAAUCAUAUUAUUAUACUUAUAUUCUUAAAUAUUUUCUUUAAAGGAAUUUGUUACUACAUAAUCAGUUAUUACUAUAUAUUCAAUGUGUUACUAUAU